UCCAAAAUUGACGGCAGGGACCUGUCCCUA
rnacentral:piRNA from 1 species